GAUAAACGCUGGCGGCGUGCAUGAGACAUGCAAGUCGAACGGACGAUCGAGGCUUGCUUCGAUCGUUAGUGGCGGACGGCUGAGUAACGCGUAGGUGACCUGCCCCGAAGUGGGAUAACUGCCCGAAGGGUGGCUAAUACCGCAUGUGGUGGUGCGUUCAAUCGCACCAGUAAAGCCGCAAGGCGCUUCGGGAGGGGCCUGCGUCCGAUUAGCUCGUUGGUGGGGAACGGCGUCACCAAGGCGACGAUCGGUAGGUGGUCUGAGAGGACGAUCACCCAGACUGGGACUGAGACACGGCCCAGACUCCUACGGGAGGCAGCAGUGGGGAAUUUUGGACAAUGGGCGCAAGCCUGAUCCAGCCAUGCCGCGUGCGGGAAGAAGGCCUGGUGUAACG
rnacentral:rRNA from 1 species